CGGUUCUACUAUACAAAUAGUGCAAGGAAACUCUGGGUCUCUCUUCACUUUGCCUAGUCUUUCAGGAGAUCCAGAUUUCGUAGCAUAUGGAUUUUACAGCGGCUGGGUUUAAACUGGGAACGUCAAGCGAAGGCAGGGCUGUAAUCCCUUCCCCUCUGGGGGCCGCCCGGAAGGAUUUCAUAGGAUCUCUUCAAGAAGCCACAGAGAGCCAGCCCGAGUUCCCGCCUCCUGCCCUUCACCAUUCAUUCCCGUCGCCAGCAGCUGGUACAUUUUGAGCGGCUCCUUCCUGGUUCUUAGCUGCAAGAUUAUCUACUUGGACGAGAAGCUUAGGACUCUUUCAGCUCAGCGAAGAGGGACAAAGGCCGCGGUGUCUUCUCCUGCUGCGAGCGUCCCUCGUUGCUCCUGCGCCACUUAAAUAAAUAAAUUAAAGUGACUGGUGCAACACCAAAUUUAGAUGCUCUAAGCCAGCCUCUGCCAUCCUGAAAUCCUCCAGAUGUUUUGGACUACAACUCCUAUCAAGCCUCAACCAGCAUGCCCCUAAACCACGGAGAGCUCUAAGCAUCCUGUGUUGAGUGGAAGCAAUUGAGCUCCGUGACAGUUCCCGAGGAACUGUUUCCCAGGUGAAGUGUUGGUGUGUGUCUGCAUAAAUCUCUGUCCCCAGCAGUUCUAU